rnacentral:rRNA from 1 species
GGAGUUUGGGCCGUGUCUCAGUCCCAAUGUGGCCGAUCACCCUCUCAGGUCGGCUAUGGAUCGCGGUCUUGGUGGGCCCCUUACCCCGCCAACUAACUAAUCCAACGCGGGCCCAUCUUGCACCGAUAAUUCUUUUCCGGAUAAACCAUGCGGUUCUACCGGCUUAUGCGGUAUUAGCAGUCGUUUCCAACUGUUGUCCCCCCUGUGCAAGGCAGGUUACCCACGCGUUACUCACCCGUCCGCCACUAAGUCACCCUCGGGUGUGUCCGCUCGUAGCAAGCUACUCACUUCCACGGAUGAGGGUGCUUCGUUCGACUUGCAUGUGUUAAGCACGCCGCCAGCGUUCAUC